GCAGCCGCCGCGGUAAUACAGAGGGUGCGAGCGUUAAUCGGAUUUACUGGGCGUAAAGCGUGCGUAGGCGGCUUCUUAAGUCGGAUGUGAAAUCCCUGAGCUUAACUUAGGAAUUGCAUUCGAUACUGGGAAGCUAGAGUAUGGGAGAGGAUGGUAGAAUUCCAGGUGUAGCGGUGAAAUGCGUAGAGAUCUGGAGGAAUACCGAUGGCGAAGGCAGCCAUCUGGCCUAAUACUGACGCUGAGGUACGAAAGCAUGGGGAGCAAACAGGAUUAGAUACCCCAGUAGUCCCUGUCUCUUAUAC
rnacentral:rRNA from 1 species